rnacentral:rRNA from 1 species
GGACCUUAUCAUGCAGGUCGAACGAGAAGACCUUCGGGUCUCUAGUGGCGAACGGGUGAGUAACACGUAGGGAACCUGCCCGCGCACCGGGAAUACGCUCUGGAAACGGAGAACAAAUCCCGAUGUACAGGAAGGAGGCAUCUUCUUUCUGUGAAACAUCCUUUCGGGGAUGGGGCGCGGAUGGACCUGCGGUGCAUUAGUUUGUUGGCGGGGUAAAGGCCCACCAAGACGAUGAUGCAUAGCCGGCCUGAGAGGGCGGACGGCCACAUUGGGACUGAGACACGGCCCAGACUCCUGCGGGAGGCAGCAGUAGGGAAUUUUCGUCAAUGGGCGCAAGCCCGAACGAGCGAUGCCGCGUGAGUGAAGAAGGCCUUCGGGUCGUAAAGCUCUGUUGCGGGGGAAAAAAGGCAGCAUCAGGAAAUGGGUGCUGACUGAUGGUGCCCCGCCAGAAAGUCACGGCUAACUACGUGCCAGCAGCCGCGGUAAUACGUAGGUGGCGAGCGUUAUCCGGAAUGAUUGGGCGUAAAGGGUGCGCAGGCGGUCCUGCAAGUCUGGAGUGAAACGCAUGAGCUCAACUCAUGCAUGGCUUUGGAAACUGGAGGACUGGAGAGCAGGAGAGGGCGGUGGAACUCCAUGUGUAGCGGUAAAAUGCGUAGAUAUAUGGAAGAACACCAGUGGCGAAGGCGGCCGCCUGGCCUGUUGCUGACGCUGAGGCACGAAAGCGUGGGGAGCAAAUAGGAUUAGAUACCC